rnacentral:rRNA from 1 species
UACGGGGGGGGCAAGCGUUGUUCGGAAUUACUGGGCGUAAAGGGCUCGUAGGCGGCCAGCUAAGUCAGACGUGAAAUCCCUCGGCUUAACCGGGGAACUGCGUCUGAUACUGGAUGGCUUGAGAUUGGGAGAGGGAUGCGGAAUUCCAGGUGUAGCGGUGAAAUGCGUAGAUAUCAGGAGGAACACCGGUGGCGAAGGCGGGUCUCUGGGCCGAUACUGACGCUGAGGAGCGAAAGCGUGGGGAGCGAACAGG